ACACGCCCUGGGCAGAUGGAACCGAGUGUGAGCCUGGAAAGCACUGCAAGUUUGGAUUCUGUGUUCCCAAAGAAAUGGAGGGCCCUGCAAUUGAUGGAUCCUGGGGAAGUUGGAGUCACUUUGGGGCCUGCUCAAGAACAUGUGGAGGAGGCAUCAGAACAGCCAUCAGAGAGUGCAACAGACCAGAGCCAAAAAAUGGUGGGAGGUACUGUGUAGGGAGGAGAAUGAAGUUCAAAUCCUGCAACACCGAGCCCUGCCCGAAGCACAAGCGAGACUUCCGUGAGGAGCAGUGUGCUUACUUUGACGGCAAGCACUUCAACAUCAAUGGUCUGCUGCCCAGUGUACGCUGGGUCCCUAAGUACAGUGGAAUUUUGAUGAAGGACCGAUGCAAGUUGUUC
rnacentral:lncRNA from 1 species